rnacentral:rRNA from 1 species
CGCCUUGCCAGCCCGCUCAGAACUUAAAGGAAUUGACGGGGGCCCGCACAAGCGGUGGAGUAUGUGGUUUAAUUCGAUGCAACGCGAAGAACCUUACCUGGUCUUGACAUCCCGGAGACCCUUAGGAAACUAGGGGGUGCUUCCAUCUGGAAGAAUCUGGAGACAGGUGCUGCAUGGCUGUCGUCAGCUCGUGUCGUGAGAUGUUGGGUUAAGUCCCGCAACGAGCGCAACCCUUGCCUUUAGUUGCCAGCAGUUCGGCUGGGCACUCUAAAGGGACUGCCGGUGUUAAACCGGAGGAAGGUGGGGAUGACGUCAAGUCCUCAUGGCCUUUAUGACCAGGGCUACACACGUACUACAAUGGCCGAUACAAAGGGCAGCGACACUGCGAGGUGAAGCCAAUCCCGUAAAAUCGGUCUCAGUCCGGAUUGGAGUCUGCAACUCGACUCCAUGAAGUUGGAAUCGCUAGUAAUCGCGCAUCAGCCAUGGCGCGGUGAAUACGUUCCCGGGCCUU